CACAGACACGCCGUUACAGCUUCCUGUUGGGCCGCGCUCCGGCAGGAUGAGCGCUGACGGCAGCGCCGGUCCCAUCCUGGCUUCAGAUCAAACACGAGUCACACACACAACGCUCUUCAUCACAACGAGGAUCUGCCACGUUUUCACACAACUCUGCAAAAAACUGCAUGAGGAUUGGAAAGGUUGUUUAAAGUGACAAGCUGACACCAACGCAGGAGAAAGGCUUUCCUUCAGGAAGGAGAUUUGAUUAAAGAGGAAGAGGAGACAAAAGGAAGGAGGUGCAAAGAGUGGCCGACGCCGCGGACAGGUUGCUGCAUUCAGGUAGCGCCGGUCGCCAUGACGCUGAUGUUGGAGACAGUCGAGGCGGCGGCGGCAACGACUCGCUGUGCCUCAAAGUGACAAGUUAUUAUAGAAAGAGACGAGUCGGAGAGACAAACGUCGUCUAUCAGCUGGAAGACUGGCACCAACAUGGCAUAACAUUAUGACCACUUUGCUCUUCUUCAUGGCUCCAGGACGGGCAGGGAGUGUCAGAGGAAAUUUGAGGAUUUAGACCACUCGUCCGCUCCGCCAUCUGUUUGGCUGCCCGACCAGCUGCUCGCGCUCCGCCGACCCGGCAUCGGCCCCGCCGUGCCGCUGACCCACCGUAAACUGCGCGCGGCGGCAGACGGAGCACGCUCCCGACCCACGCCGGUUCUGACCCCGGAUUUGUCGCAGGAGAGAAUGCAGAGUUACUGAGACUGCAGCUGCAUACUGAUGGUGUUUCUGUGAGAGGAAGUGACUAAUGAAGCGGCAGGCACCGGGUCGAGCUCAGAGUCUGGAAACAUCAGCUGCUGAGGCACCGAGGAGACGCAUAACUGAUUCCCAUCAUCAUCAUCAUCAUCAGAGUGUUGAGCUGCCCUGCUAAUCUGGUAACCUGGGGAAACAUCUUCACCACGCCUUCUCGUUCGGAUCCGUCAGCAGGUUUUAUGAUUCUCCAUGUGAAAUGGGUUUGAAAUGUUCACUUAUUCACAAACACAGACACUGAAGAGGUUGGAUUCUGCAUCUUGAAUGUUGUGGCUCUUCAUGAUUAUGCUAUUCCCAGGUUCCAGCUGCAUAAUGGAACAGGAACACAACCCCAAAAUGAUGGACAACAUGUUUUUGCUUCUAUCACAGAGAAAAAGCUUGUGAAUAACAAUCAUUUUCCUCCGGUAAAACCGAGGCUACUUUUCCUUUGUACUGUGACCUCUCACACAUUUCUACACGGCUGAUGGAAAUGUAUUACACCAGCCAGCAAAGGGAAAUAAGACACAAAAUAUCUCCCAUAAGUCAUUCACAUCCUAUUUUAUCAUCUUAAUUCUGAUAUUUGCAUAUUGAGGUCCACUAUCUUAGCAUUAGCAAGGACAGUAAUGUUAGCAUAACAUUAUAGAUGGCGCUAGAAAGUUAGCUUACACCAACACAUUGUCUGCAUUCUUUACAAUCUCUGUUCCCAGUGCAAAAAGGCCCAACUAAAGCAUUUUAAUGCAUUUUUAAAUUAAGUAUCCUGAAAAAUGAAUGUGAUUUGGUAUUUCCAAAAUAAGGUGGAAAAAAAAUGAAUGCAAGUAAGCGUUAGCAUGCUAUC